CACGUAGUUAGCCGUGGCUUUCUGAUUAGGUACCGUCAAGACGUGCACAGUUACUUACACAUUUGUUCUUCCCUAAUAACAGAGUUUUACGAUCCGAAGACCCUCAUCACUCACGCGGCGUUGCUCCGUCAGGCUUUCGCCCAUUGCGGAAGAUUCCCUACUGCUGCCUCCCGUAGGAGUCUGAACCGUGUCUCAGUUCCAGUGUGGCCGAUCACCCUCUCAGGUCGGCUACGUAUCGUUGCCUUGGUAAGCCAUUACCCCACCAACUAGCUAAUACGGCGCGGGUCCAUCUAUAAGUGAUAGUAAACCAUCUUUCACUUUAGAACCAUGCGGUUACUAAAUUAUUACUCCGGACUACUUACGGACCCCCGGUUUCCCGGACGGUUUAUUCCC
rnacentral:rRNA from 1 species